rnacentral:rRNA from 1 species
GACGGAGGGUGCAAGCGUUGUUCGGAAUUACUGGGCGUAAAGCGUGCGCAGGCGGUUUCCUAAGUCCACUGUUAAACCUUGAGGCUCAACCUCAAAUCUGCAUUGGAAACUAGGAGACUUGAGUAUAGUAGGGGUAGAGGGAAUUUCCAGUGGAGCGGUGAAAUGCGUAGAUAUUGGAAAGAACACCGAUGGCGAAGGCACUCUACUGGGCUAUUACUGACACUCAGAGACGAAAGCUAGGGGAGCAAAUGGG